rnacentral:rRNA from 1 species
CUAAGGCCGAUGGCGACCGGCGCACGGGUGAGUAACACGUAUCCAACCUGCCGAUGACUCGGGGAUAGCCUUUCGAAAGAAAGAUUAAUACCCGAUGGCAUAGUUCUUCCGCAUGGUGGAACUAUUAAAGAAUUUCGGUCAUCGAUGGGGAUGCGUUCCAUUAGGUUGUUGGCGGGGUAACGGCCCACCAAGCCUUCGAUGGAUAGGGGUUCUGAGAGGAAGGUCCCCCACAUUGGAACUGAGACACGGUCCAAACUCCUACGGGAGGCAGCAUG